rnacentral:misc_RNA from 1 species
UCUUAGCCCCUGCCUACACAAGGCUCGGGUUGGACCCUGAUGCGGUGCGAGUGCCCCAAGCACGCCCACUCGGCUGCUAUGGAUCACUCGUUCCCGCUCGUGCCUUCGGAUGCGGAACGCUAAGCGAUGCCGGGGCGCGCACAGCAGCCCUCGCAUGACCCUAAAGUAAGAGCGAAACUUCGCUCCCCGAGAAUGACCAUCGCGCGCGCUCGCGCUUCCGUCCUACCGUUCGCUCGGUGGAAGGGAGAGCUUGCGCGUCGCGGUGCCUUCAAGGGCCGCUACCUGGUUGAUCCUGCCAGUAGUCAUAUGCUUGUCUCAAA